rnacentral:SRP_RNA from 1 species
GCCGAGCAGCUAGCGACUGCUUGUAACCCGAGCGGGGGCAAUAAAGUGGUGUGGAUGCCAAUUGUGGCGCUUGGCCCAGGCCUGGUACUGCAAUCUGCGGCCCGCCCGUUCCAAGUUGGUAGUUGGGUUGUGACAGCUUUGGCGAAGGCCAUGGCGAACCAGCCUCUAGAGCGGCGGGCAAUGCGUGAGGCUGGUUUCACAGAGCAGCGAAUACCGUCCGCUUCCAACGGUGGAUGGAUAACGGGCCACUGCACUCCAGGUCCACCUAGGCCUAGGCGCUCUUUCUGGCAGACCACCAUUUUU